rnacentral:lncRNA from 1 species
AGCUUCCUGUUAGGUUUGGCCAGUGGGAGGUACCACCAAGAAACUGGAGGAGGUUAGAACUUGUUCUGCCAGGUCUCUGAAUUGACUGCCUUUCUCUACCAAAGCUGUGGCUGCUCCGGCUCCUACAGGCAGCUCCUUCCAAACAAUCACUUCUCGUGGCAGCAAGCAGUCCCCCUACAAGUCCCCUCAGGCUUGAGAACUAAUGAUUCCUGCUAGAACUAGCCCCACGGGUACUGUGUUGUUCCUAAUCCCUGCCCUAU